CCUACGGGAGGCAGCAGUGAGGAAUAUUGGUCAAUGGACGAGAGUCUGAACCAGCCAAGUAGCGUGAAGGAUGACUGCCCUAUGGGUUGUAAACUUCUUUUAUAUGGGAAUAAAAUGUUCCACGUGUGGGGUUUUGUAUGUACCAUAUGAAUAAGGAUCGGCUAACUCCGUGCCAGCAGCCGCGGUAAUACGGAGGAUCCGAGCGUUAUCCGGAUUUAUUGGGUUUAAGGGGAGCGUAGGUGGAAUGUUAAGUCAGUUGUGAAAGUUUGCGGCGCAACCGUAAAAUUGCAGUUGAAACUGGCAUACUGGAGUGCAGUAGAGGUGGGCGGAAUUCGUGGUGUAGCGGUGAAAUGCUUAGAUAUCACGAAGAACUGCGAUUGCGAAGGCAGCUCACUGGACUGCAACUGACACUGAGGCUCGAAAGUGUGGGUAUCAAACAGGAUUAGAUACCCCUGUAGUC
rnacentral:rRNA from 1 species